rnacentral:misc_RNA from 1 species
AACGCACGAGACCUGCGGACCUGCGGAGGGAUCAUUACAGAUUCAUCAGGAGGAAAGGGAUGUUGCUGGUACCCCUCUGGGUGCAUGGUGCACUCCUGGACCUCCGUCUUUUAAAACUCUCCCUGUGCACUCUUUGUAGAUGGGAGUGAAACACCUCUCAUCUAUGUUAUUUGUCAUAACACCCUUGAUUAAAGAAGGAAUAUAACAUUAAUGAUGUUUGACAACUUUUAACAACGGAUC